rfam:Alternaria alternata strain SRC1lrK2f unplaced genomic scaffold CC77scaffold_16, whole genome shotgun sequence.
GGGCUUGUGGUUUAGUGGUAUAAUACUCCCUUAGCAUCAGUUCUUGAGCGGUAAAACGCACUGGAUCAGCUUGGGAGUGGUCCAGGGUUCGAUUCCCUGCAAGUCCA